rnacentral:rRNA from 1 species
AUUGAACGCUGGCGGCAGGCCUAACACAUGCAAGUCGAACGAGCGGCGGACGGGUGCGUCAUGUCUGGGAAACUGCCUGAUGGAGGGGGAUAACUACUGGAAACGGUAGCUAAUACCGCAUACCAUCAGAUGUGCCAAGAUGGGAUUAGCUAGUAGGUGGGGUAAUGGCUCACCGAGGCGACGAUUCCUAGCUGGUCUGAGAGGAUGACCAGCCACACUGGAACUGAGACACGGUCCAGACGCCUACGGGAGGCAGCAGUGGGAAAUAUUGCACAAUGGGCGCAAGCCUGAUGCAGCCAUGCAGCGUGUGUGAAGAAGGCCUGCGGGUUGGAAAGCACUUUCAGCGAGGAGGCGUUACUCGCAGAAGAAGCACCGGCUAACUCCGUGCCAGCAGCCGCGGUAAUAC